rnacentral:lncRNA from 10 species
AUUUAUACUCCAGUUUCAGUUCCGUUGAUUCAAAGUUUUGGGACUUAGGACAAGUUUGCUAGCUUCUCUGAGCCUCAGUUUUUUAAACCGUUAAAUAGGAAUAACAGCAUGCUGAGUGCCAAGAAUUAAAGAAAAAUUUAUGUGAAAAUAUAGAUUAGAAAGAAAACUAAUAUAAAUGCAGGGGAUUAUGAUCAUAAUACUCAUAAAACUUCAGUACUCCCUGGGAAGAUCCAAUGGCCGUCAGUCAUGUGCACGUGAUCAGAAUCUGGGCCAUCAUAUUUUUUUAAGCAAGUUGAUGGCCUGAGGGUUCUUGGCCAGGUGGGAGGAGGCUGCUCUGGGAUGUUGAAGAGAGAUUUUAAAAAGGAGAUGGAAGGCUGUGAAAACAUAGUUCAAAUUGGAGGGAGCUUGGGCAGAUACCACCUUUUCUUUUAAGGAAUGAAUUUGACUUUUGCUGAUGGAGCCUCUCUGAAGGGCAAAUUCAAAGUACAGCUGGGUGCUGCAGCACUGGAGUGCGAACUUGUGGCUGUGGUUAUGAAGGAGCCUCGUCAGCUAUGCCUUUAGCCCCUGGUGAAGCAGUGCCAGUCACACUUUGCCAGUCAAACGGAGAGGCAGCAGUAGUAAGACCAGACCAAAUCAAACCAAACCAAGCAAACCACGGGGAAUGGAGGUCAUGUGAGCACACAGCAUAAAGGCAGCUGCCCACAAGCCAGGAAGAGAAGCAUCAUCAGAAACCGACCAUACUGGCUUCCUGAUCUCAGACUUUCAGCCUCCAGAAUGAUUAUUGCCUGCUCCUCCAAGCCCUUCACUGUAGAAUGGAAGCCUGUGAUUUUCCUGGCAUCAUGCAUGACUGAGAAGGUCAGUGUGGCUAAUUCUGAGCUUCAACAUCAGGAAACCCGUAGUUCUUCACACUGAGCCGCCUCCUGCAGCACAGUCAUCCUUGGUAAUAAAGCUGAUAUUUUAAUCAAUAUCUGUCUUACUCUUUCAUCUUGUCCCUCAUUUGGUUUAGAAUUCAGGUGGGGAAAACAAUUGUUUACUUUAUCGGACUCCUAACCAUGUGCUUGGCAGACACAGGUGAAUAAAUACAGUCUCUAUUCUCAGGAAAUUCAUAGAGCAAUGGUGGGAGGUGGGUAGAUGGAAAUGGAAGCAAAAAAAACAAUGUGAAUUACUGUAACUAGGGAAGUGGUGUAGUGGAGUUCAAGAGCUUCAGUUCUGGUCUCAUUCAAUCUUAGAUGCAUUCCCAAAUGUGCCAUUUAAUAGAUGAGUGACCCUGGGGAAGUAAUUUUACCUCAGUGCCUCAGUUUUCUCAUCUAUAAAAUGGGAAUUAUAAUACCCACCUCACAGAUUGUAAAGAUUCAAUGAGAUAAUACAUCUAAAUUGUUCAGCACAGUGCCAAGCAUGAAGAAAAAUCACCCUUUUGACCAUUGUUAUUAUUAGAAGUGUGACAUAUAUGCUGUGUAAUCUACAGGAGGGCACCUGUCUCUUCACGUGAGUGCUAUUAUCCAAAGAGAGGUAGAAAAGAAUUCUGUCUAUAUCAUAGAGCAAUGAUAAGCAAAGCAACCCCAGACUGUAGCUAAUAUAUAUUUUGGGGCAUCACUCUGUAGGUUCUAGUUUGCUUUUCAGUCUGUCAGUUGGGUGGUAGCUACUCUCCAGCCUGGCAUCAGGCACCCAGCAGAGAGGGAC